rnacentral:rRNA from 1 species
UAAUACGAAGGGAGCGAGCGUUGUUCGGAUUUACUGGGCGUAAAGGGCGCGUAGGCGGGUUCGUAAGUCGAGUGUGAAAACUGUGGGCUCAACCCACAGAUUGCACCCGAAACUGCGUACCUUGAGUCCAGGAGAGGAGAGCGGAAUCGGCAGUGUAGCGGUGAAAUGCGUAGAUAUUGUCGAGAACACCGGUGGCGAAGGCGGCUCUCUGGCCUGGUACUGACGCUAAGGCGCGAAAGCUAGGGGAGCGAACGGGAUUAGAUACCCCGGUAGUCCUAGCCGUAAACGAUGGGCACUAGGUGUUGGAGGUGUUGACCCCUUCAGUGCCGCAGCUAACGCAUUAAGUGCCCCGCCUGGGGAGUACGGUCGCAAGGCUG